rnacentral:rRNA from 1 species
UGGGGAAUAUUGCACAAUGGGCGAAAGCCUGAUGCAGCAACGCCGCGUGAACGAUGAAGGCCUUCGGUCGUAAAGUUCUGUCCUCAAGGAAGAUAAUGACGGUACCUGACUAAGAAGCACCGGCUAAAUACGUGCCAGCAGCCGCGGUAAUACGUAGGGGGCAAGCGUUAUCCGGAUUUACUGGGUGUAAAGGGAGCGCAGGCGGUCCUGCAAGUCUGAUGUGAAAGCCCGGGGCUCAACCCCGGGACUGCAUUGGAAACUGUGGGACUUGAGUGUCGGAGGGGCAAGUGGAAUUCCUAGUGUAGCGGUGAAAUGCGUAGAUAUUAGGAGGAACACCAGUGGCGAAGGCGGCUUGCUGGACGACAACUGACGCUGAGGCUCGAAAGCGUGGGGAGCAAACAGGAUU